rnacentral:rRNA from 1 species
AGCGGCGGACGGGUGAGUAACGCGUGGGUAACCUGCCUCAUACAGGGGGAUAACAGUUAGAAAUGGCUGCUAAUACCGCAUAAGACCACAGUACUGCAUGGUACAGUGGUAAAAACUCCGGUGGUAUGAGAUGGACCCGCGUCUGAUUAGGUAGUUGGUGGGGUAAAGGCCUACCAAGGCGACGAUCGGUAGCCGGACUGAGAGGUUGAACGGCCACAUUGGGACUGAGACACGGCCCAG